GUCGGCGCCGACCAGGUCGGCACAUAGCUCAACCCCUCACGUCCCUUCGAUUCCCCUCUCGCCGCCGAGAUGCUCCGCCGCCGGCCGCCGCCACGCUCCGCCAUCACCUGCUCGCUCCAGCGAUGCUGGACACAUCCGCCGCCGUCACUUGCUUACACGGCCUGGGCACGAUCUCCUCCGUCAACCCCCCAACACCGCGGUACCCUCCGGCUCCCGCGCGCACACCGCUACAAAGCCUAGCUCCGCCCUCUACCGUGCCUUACCGGCCAUCGUCGGCGGCCUCCCGUGUCGCGGAUCGCCGGUGAUGUUCCGCCUUCCUCACCUCCGCAGUAUUCGUACCGUCGCCAAGCCACCCCACCUCCUCCGCGUGUCCCCGUGGCAACUAUAGCCGUGGGGUUUGGAUUGCCGGCGCCGCGUCCGUGCACCCGUGCCUCCGGCUACUCCCUCCGGCAGCCACGCCUCGUCUACGACCUCCGCCACGACCUCCCGUGCUCCUGCUCCUCUACCCCGACGCCUGCGACCACCUCCUGGACCCCCGCGUCGACCUGGGCUCCUCUAGUGCUCCGGCUACCCUGUGGUGCUGCUACUUUCGCACCUUAGGCUCACCUCCCUGUGCUGUAUUUGUAUAUUAGGGAGAUCAAAUAUAUUUAUCCAAAUCUGGAGUAGGUGCCCUGAGGUGAUGAACACCACGCUGAAGCCUGAAGGGUUGCACUUUUGGUGCUUGAUGCAAUGACUCUAUAGAGCAAGGAAGACAGUGAGAGGUGAGCAUGGUGAAUUCUCUGUAUUAGGUACUGAAUUUAGGAAAUCCUACACUUUGUAUUUUUCUGUCUUCAUGGCUGAUUGAACUUACAGUUUCUGGACUGCACGGUUGUGAGUGUUAUAUCUUUCUUAGUUGCACACUUUCACAUGUAGAAGACAAAAUUUCCGAUUAAUGAUCUGUUCCAUCAUCUGGAUAUGAGGUUCUUCAUAAAGGGAUUCUGAGCCAACAAAUAAGUCAAGAACCCGGUUUAGGAUAAAGUGUGAUGUUGGAAUAUGAAAUCGUAUCGACUGCAUCGAGUGAAUGAAAUCGUAUAACACUAAUACAUAUUGUAAAUAAUAACUAUUUGGUUAGCAUAAUUUGCAAAAUCCCGAUCCAUCAUUUUGUUGAUAAUCAACCUUUGUUCAGUACCCAGUUUGUCUUUCUCGACAUUAUGGUUGACAAUUUAUUGAAAUAAUGUUGGUAAAUCGGAUUUGCAUACUGUUGGGGAAACAAAUUGUCAAUCCAGCACCUCUUAUCGCAAUAACAUGCCAAGUUCAUCUUUUGAUCAUACAGUAGUUAGUCUGUUCUUUAUGGUUGGCCAGGGGAUAGAAUUUUGGACUAUCUUCUUGAACUGAAUAGAGCACAACGUUCACAUUAUGCUUUAGAUGGCACCCUUCCAAUAUUCACAAGUGAUCAUGUGUAAUUUUCACCAUCAGUUUACCUACGUAUUGAUGUACUAUAAUUUUCACCAUCAGUUUACCUACGUAUUGAUCUUUAUCUGCAUUGUCCAGAGAAUAUGUUCUUAGAUCGUCUGUACUUGAAUUACUAGAUUACGCAUGAUUUUUUUGCUUGAUUGUUCGAUGUAUAAAGAUCAUUCAGCCGCAACAUACUUCUCUACUGAAGCUCCAAGACCUGCGCAAAAUUCUAUGGUAAAUGGUCAGUGUUACCUUUAAGAAAAUUAAAUAUAUGUUCUUCCGAAUGAAUUACCCUCUGUAUUUUAUAAAUCUUUUAGUAUGAUACCCUUAUUCUCUCACUGUAUACCAUUGUGUUGUAUAUAACUUCCGAAAGAAGGGAGAUGUGCUUCAUGCUACUGUAAUUAGAUUUUUUUUAAACUAUAGAUACAAGCUGUAAUAUAUUCCGAGCAUGUAGUUAAGAGCAAUUUUAUGUUUUGGUAUGAAAAAAAUAGAUAAAUUAGUUGCAUAUUAACAUUUUUCUCAAACAUAUAUGAACAGUGGAAGGUGGCAUAUUAAAAUUUUCUCAGCCAAUAAACACCUUGCUGGCUGUACUGCCCUGAUAGCUUUGAAAAACUUUCCUCAACUUUUAGCUAUUUGUGAUCAUAGCUCUGAGAUGGGAUCCAUCAUAUCUCUAUAUCUAUCUACUACUUAAAAAGAAGGAACGUGUUCCCCCUUCACCCCCAGUUUGGUCGUCCCUGGCGAUCUGGCGAGAAGGAGCUUGUCCUAAUUUCGACGAUUGCCCGCCGUCACCAAUCGAUCUCAGGGAGCAGCGCCCCGCGCCCCCGCCCUCCAUCGACCCUUCCGUGGCCGAGAUCCAGGCCGUCCCGCAACCGAGCCUACGUCCCCAACGCCUCCCGAUUCGCCCAUCUCCCGACCUAAUAUCGUUCUCCGGCCCGACCAGCUCGCCGCCUCGACGGAGCUCCGGCCACCUCUGCUUCACUACCGAUGGUGCCGCGAGCUUCUCCACAAACACCACCAGCCGAAGUCGUACCUCCUUCUGGCGUGCUCCACGAAAUCCUGUAGGCUGCACCCGUGCCGACGCCAGACCGCGUGGAGAUCACGCAAAUUUCUCGGUGCCUCACUCCGGCACUGAGGACUCUUCGACAUGAGGGCUGCACCGCGUGGCCUUGAUGUACAAGUGGGAGGCGGACGCCGGCAGGGACGUGCAAGCGUUCUCGACCAGAUCGACAGGGUGUCAAAAUGUUUUGAAGCAGCACGAGAGGCAGAUCUGCUGUGGUGGAGAUAGGAAAGGUGAGAGUGGCCGGCGAAGUGAAGGAAGAUCGUUAUCGAGGUUGCCAGUAGUGUCAAGUUAGUUCAGAUAAUGCAAAUUUCCAAUGAUAUAUUACAUAUGUUCAUGUCUAUUUUCUAUUUUCUCAUGUUAUAUCAAAUGAUACUGGCUAAGAUUAUAGAAAUAUGCACUUUUUGUGAGAGGAACAUGUGUGCUUCAAGAUUCCUUGGUUUAAUCAAGCAAUGUUGUAAAGAUCAUUUGAACAGCUUAACAUAUUUAGGAAAUAUUCAUAUCUUAAACAAAGAGGCAGUCAACAAACUCCGCAUAGGGAGGGAAUUCCUGAUGUAGCAUGGAUGUAUAUUGUUCAAAUGAGUGUUGUAAGUACCACUUAAAUGCACACUCGCCUCAUUGUUGUUUGUGUAUACAUAUGUUGUUCUCACUCUAUCUAUGUCUAAACAACAAGUUCCUGAGAACAAGCGGCGUGCGUCUACAUGGAAAGGCGCCGCAUAGUAAGGCACAAUGCUGGGAUAGCUACUACUUUCAGAUUGCGUAGAUUAGUAGCUGGCGCGGGAAUUGAGUCCAUCUUUCCACUGUUUUGGUCAUACUUCUUCGAACAAUCAAAAAAAGUUACUCAUCUUAAGUUCGAGGUGUGAGGGUGUUAAAAAAUUUGGAAGUUGUAGGAAGGAUGGGCCGGUGUGGUGUGCCGAAGGUGGAUCCGCUGUCACUGGUGGCGACACUAAGAUGAGUGGUCUCCGAAGUGAAGGAAGAUCAUCAUCUAGGUUGCCAAGCAACAGUAGUGUCCCAUGUUCUUUUGCCAGCUCGAGACUGGUCUCAAUGCGUGGCCAGAGAUGCCGUAGAGAGCUCGUUUCUGGCCGCCGGCACCUGGGGUGGCACCCUGGACGAGUCUUGGAGUUCGUCUCAGUUCAUCUCUCGCAUGACAGAGGACGCGUUGAAGCAGCAGUUUUGGCUCCAGCUUGCCGUGCACGGCCUUCAUCAACAAUCUGGAGGUUUGUUAAUUGCCAUGCACCAUCAUGUACUAAGGUACAGUUGAGCAAACUCCGCUACAAAAUGUUGUUGCCUUCCUGGAUCAUUAUGCUGGGCUAAGCUGUACUUGACUACUCAAUACUUGCUUCGAUUUAAAUUGGUGUAAUUUUUUAUUUCACACUUCUUUUUUGUGCCUCUCUAAUACGCUGUUUGGCCCAAUUUCAUGAUUGCUCCAUAUUUCUGAAAUUAUUAGACCAAGCAUACCUGGAUCUAUUUUUUCUAAGAGCAGAUUUGAACAUUUGAUAAUUUCGAAAAUUACUGAUAGAACUUGCCAUGUCGUUCAUUUCCCUAUCGGUUUAGACACGAAGGAAAUUGAGCAAAAAUAUGAAAAAUAAGAAGAGACCGCCCUUGAACCUGUAUAUGCACCUUUACCCAUAUUUUAAAUUAACCUUGAAGUUUAGAUAAUGGUGUGUGCUACAUAUUGAUAUAUUUGUUCUCUCUCUACAAUGUUGACAAGCAUGAUUAUGAACUUUUCGGAGAAAUUAAUUUAUUUUUCUUUUGUGAAAAGUAUACAUUCCUGCUGUAAUGUAAGAAACGGACCUUCAAGAAUCUGAAUGCCAUAUGUAAAUCAGAUAUGUACAAUUUUACUUCUUAGUUAUCAUGUCUAAAUAUUUUGUAGAGAACCUUCUGAUAGAUCGACUUGGAGCAUAUGCAAGGCUAGCUAUAUAGUUUUACUGAAAUAAUUAUUUGACGAGUGUGUAAAUUGUGUACAACAUUCAAAAUUGUGGUGUAGAUUUCCUAUGUUGCAGUAGUUUAUGUUCCCAUGUGGCGACUAUUACUCUAAAUAUAUUGUUGUACUUGUCUUGAGACCAAGUUAUGUGUCAAUUUUUUUGGUGUUCAGUGAUGAUUGAUGUUUAUAUUUUAGCAUUUUUUUGUCUUUUACAUGUUUGUUACCCGUGUCACGCUGUCUCGUUAUGACUGUCCAGAAAAUAGAUGUGGACCAAAACAGUAAUAAGAAGACCUAGAACUUGAAACCAUGCAGAUACAUAACAAUGUUGUCUUGUUAUUGCAUUCGGUAUUAUCAUGAUGUAGUAUAUUAUGAUAUUUUUGAUUUGUUUUAAAUUUUCAUAAGGAGUUAAAAAUUAUAUAUGUGCAUUGAGAAAUGAAAUUUGAGGACCCGUGGCAACGCACGGGCAUUUGUACUAGUAUAGAUAAAUGAGCAAGAGGCCAUUCAAGGGCUUCGAUUUCUCUUACAGGCCAUGUAUUAUUGCUUAAUAUGGUUUUAUUUGGAUUAAUCAACCUGACACUUCUAGAACUCUGACCUAAUUGACGUAAUGUGGUGCUUUUGUUGUACUGGAGUUUUGCUUGUGGGACAAGCAUGCUAGAUUAAUUUUCAUGUUGCAUAACUACAUGAUUUUGGUUCAGAUGGGUCAUGUUUAGGCUGAUAGGUUAGAUGGACAUGUACUCCGGUUUCUUUCUUUUCAUGCAUUGUGCAAUUAAUGCUUGAGCUAUAUUUUUGUUAACUUUCUAAGUAAACUUCACUCAGCAUGGAGAAACAAGUUAGAGACUAUGUAUAGUAUCAUCAAGAUGGUAAUUCUAUUUUCUGAUUUUCCUAGCACUACAAACUAUGGCCUAAUCGGAUCUGUCAGUUUUCCUUCCAGUUUGGAAGAAUUUUUACCUAAAAAGGUUUAUGUAAGAAGGACAUUACCUGAUGAUGAUUUCUUCAUUCAAGGAUUAACACAUGCAGCACAAAGAUAGCACAUGCAGUAGAUGGGAGUUAACUGCGUCAUGCAGAAAUUAACACUUGCAUUUUAAUAGCUUAGAGAAUGACUUCUAAUUCUUGAGAUAGUGUUUUUCUUCUAUAAGCUAUAAAGCAAGUCUUAAAAUUAUCACCACCAUGAUAUACACAGUUGGCGCGGCGUGCCGCCGCGCCCAUUCGUGCUAGUUAUAUUACAUGAUUGCACAUUAAAAGUGUUCUGCUAUUGCGGAGUAUGUCAUCUAACCGGUAAUUUUUUUACUUGCAAACUAGGUGAAUAAUACCUCAUGCUAGAAUAUUUUAAGCAUGAAUACACAAAACUUAGGAGUACAUGUAUACUUUUAUCUGCUUAAGAAAAAUAUUUUCCAAUACGAAGUUGAUUAUCACUCUUGCUAUCAGUAGUUGUUUCCAUUCAUUGACCCAAAUUUAACGAACUUUAUUGCAGGCACUGCAAUCGAUUUGUCGUCCCCAAUUGUUAUUGAGGGAAAAGCUUGCUGGGAUCUGUACAUUGAUGGACUUGUUGUGUUCUGAUUGUAAUUUGUUUUAUGCCCUAGCUGCUGCGAUAAAGGUAAUAUGUGGUUUCUAUUGCUUCAGCAGAUGCAUCCCUUUUGAUGCAAGUGUUGGUGGUGCCAUAUUAACUUGACCUCAACAUAUUAACUUGACCUCAACAUAUAUUUUGGUAAAGAAAGAAUGCAACGCCAAGUGCUACAUCAACUAAGAAAAGGUACAGAGCCACUUCUGUUCCAUGGCAGUACAGCUCACUACAAUUGUAGUAUAAGCUUGCCAUUCAUUAAUUAAUUGCUUAGGAUUCUAUGUACUGUUAUGUGUAUUUUCUUAGUGUAUGAAUACCGCUUUCACAUUCUGGGGCGUAUGUUUCCGAAAAAAAUCCUUAACAACACCAAUGGCAGUAAGAAAUUGAGAUGUGACAACUAUGCAUAACCCAUUCUUUAUGUUUUAUAUAUAAUUACUCUAAACAUCGGUUUAUGCUUGAAGCAAUCUUCUCAUUUCCUUACCAAGUAUUGAACUUCUUAUAGAAUAUCUUCUAUGCUAUCAUAGCGCACCAUGAGAAAUAUUCAGUAACUAUGUCAAUACAUGGAGAUUCAUGAUGAAUGAGAUAACUUAGCCUCUUGCCUAUCCAUUAUCUUCUCUUGCGCAGACUUCAUGUCUAGCACAUGGUUUAUUUUAGCUUCAUGCUCAGCUGUCAUGUAUCCGUUUUCAUCUUCUUUUUCUUGUCAGGAGUGUUUGGUUUUGAUCACUCCGUCAACCCCCUGGUUUUGUUGCCGGGUUUUCGCUGCAGUUCUUCAACAUAUAGUGAUGACGGUCAUUUCGGAAAAAAAAAACAUAGUGAUGACGCGCAUGCCCGUGAAACCCUAGAUGUGGGGAUGGGGCUCACAACACCUAUGCUUCUGUUACCCCGACGUCGACGAUUAUCACCUCUUGAUGUCGCCUGGGUGGCCGGGGGCUCCCCACCGUGGUGCGGUGGUAGUCUGUGACUGCACUCCUCUUCUUCAGCGACCUCAAUGUCUUCCUCCACGGCUACACCUACCACUGUGAGCUAUUUCUUCACUCUUCCAUCUCUCUUGUGCAAUAUGAUGGUUUUCGGCCAAUGAGUUGUGGUUAGUUUUAGCAUUAGGACUAUGGUGUUGUCAUGUUGCUUGUACAGGGACGUGGUGAUGUUCUGAUUAGGUUCUAGUCUAGAUGAUGGUAUUUUGGUGAAUGGAUUGAUUGGUUAAAUAGGGUCCUGGUCGGCUCUAGUUAAUAUUGUAUAGUAUAUCAGAUGCUCUAAUGAUUUCUUGUAUAUGAUAUGCACUUGUUUUUUUAUCUAGGUUGAGGUUGCCACUUAGCUAGGUUGGCUUGGGUAGAAUUAACAUAUGUUGUGACAGUUACUUGUCUUCGUUAUAAUGGUCUUAUAUCUAUGCUUCACACAUGAGUUGUGGUGGCAUCAUAUGAAAUAUGUCUACCCUUUCAUCAUGCAGCAUAUUUCUAUAUUUAAAGCAUGGACUAACUUACCGUUGCAUAUUUGUUGGGAAUGGACAUGUCUGGAUUCUAUUCUUCAAGUGCAUUGAUAGCUGUGUAGUGGUAGCUAUAUUUUGAGAUAUACCAACCUUGUUUUUCUAGAUCAUGUUUCAGAAGCUUGUUUGAACAUUGAGGCAAUGUGUAUAAAAUAUCUGUACAUGUGGAUUGUUUACUUUGUUAUGUACUUUCAUUGUGAGAGAAACCCCCAAAAAGUGCCUUAGUAAUAUUGGUCAUUCUCAAAAAAAAAAAAGAGAAGCUGCAUGGGAAAUAUUGAUCGACUGUAAACUUUAGUGAAGAUUAUUCGCCGCGCCCGUGCUUCUAAUUUGUUGGCAUGAAUGUUUAGUGAUAUUGAAUUCAGAGUGUUUUUCUUAUAGGCUACAGAGUGCUGUAUCCGGAGGAUGCUUCCUGGAAUGUGUGGUACGGAGGACUAUCCUUUUCUUGCCUCGAGUGUAUGAUCAUUCUAAGUAUUUUAUAAAAAGUGAUUUAAUUAGAUGAUAUAAGAUGCAGCAGUGAGGAAAACAAAGUUUUGCGAUGCUGCCGUGUUGCUCUUGUUAGUUUGCUGGCAUGGAUCAGAUUGGACUUGAUUGUUGUUUGAUUACGUAAGCACAGGAAUAUGGCAGUGGCUAGAUAGAGUAUCAUAGCUAAGCUAAUUAUACACAAGCAUGAGAACACUACGCGUGAGUUGUCGUGACGUUGUUCUUUUGUUUUUCUUGUAUGUUCAGUUAGCAGCAUGUAGCUCUGUAUCCGUUAUUUUUCUUUUCCUGAGAGACCAUGCCUGGCUAAAACAUUUAGAAAAAUGGAGAAGGGGGAGCAAGCAGCUGUAGCCGUAGGCAAAGAGAUGAGAUUAAUCGGAGGUUAGAAAAAAGAAAAAGAAACGGAAAGAAGUAGGCCGGAGAGCAGAAAUUUAGAAACCCUGCUUUGCUGGCGCAUGCACGGAGGAACCACUGCCGGCACUCCAGAUCCAGCACCACAGAGCAGAGGGCGCGAAGUGGAAAGGUAGAAAUUAUGUUUUGCUGAGAUGCACGGCGGUGAGGCUCUACUGCUGGUGUAGAUCGAGUAUCUUGGAUCGCCGGUUCAGCUAGUGAGCCCGUGGAGAAAUUCUGUUUUGCUGAGAUGCGCGGCGAUGAGACCCUGCUGCUGGUGUAGAUUGAUUAUCUUGCAUCGCCGGUUCAGCUAGUGAGCCCGUGGACGAUUCUGCCCCAACCCCAGUGGUCAGUACAUGACCUGUAUCUAAAUGAUUUAUGUUUGAUUUGUUUUGGCUGUUUUAGGCAUCACCUGGGAUCCACGGCCUCCUCACCAUUUCAGCUAGGCAAUCAGACUUGAUUAUGUUGUUUCAGGGUUGAUAUAAGGUCUACAUAGAAGCCGGCUCCACCGUCCAGAUCAAGGGGCCGAGUUGCUGCUGCUUCCUUGGAGCACUGGAAGGGUUGUGCCAUUGCUGCAUCGGCCACCGGUGAGGCGUCGUGUGUGCGGAUUGUGGCUGCUGCUCCUGUUGCACAUGCCCGAGAUGCUUGCGUGGCUGCAAGUGCUCUUGCCCAGGUGCUCCCCCUGCGCAUUCCCCCUACCAGCGGCAGCGCUGGGUGGUGCCUCUUGUGUUGUAUUGGAUACCUUGGAUUAUAUGCUUGUUUGUAUUGCCUCUGUUGGUAUAUUGAGGCAUUAUUGUUUAUAUUGCCUUGUGAUACAUUUAAUCAUUUAAAUAUAUUGCCUCUAAUUG